CUUCCUCCAAAGUAAAUUAGCCCAUAACAAUGGCUGGAAGUCGACGGAGCGUGUGUGCACUCUUCCAGGUCAAAGUUCACGCUCGGUUGAACUCCAAACAUAAAGAAAACGAGGAUAUCUGCAUCUCCAACAUUAUAUGCUAUAAAUGUUCCCAAAAGACAUAACCGGGAUAAGAAUUAAUAUUGUCAAAAUUAUUUUAGAUUCACUAUCCAAUUUUAUCCUAACCAAAAAGUUCAUGAAUCAAAAAAAUAUGAUAAAAAAUGACUGAUCUAUAAAAAUUACGAAGUUCAGACAUGUCUCUGCUAUUUCACGGUUCAUUUUACAUCCAAUCCACGUCCAAAUAUCCAAACCUCAAAAAGACUAAAAUAAGAAACAAAGAACCAUCGAAAGUAAUUGGCCAGUCAAAAGUACAAGAAUCAGACACGUUUUUGGCAUUUCACGGUCCCGUUGUUCGACUCGUAUUAAUUACCAUUGCCAUAAAUUACCAUGUUAUGAGAAGAGACGAAAAGAAGUUUCUUGCUUUGUCGGUCCAGCAUCAUUAGGGUCGGCUCCCCACUUGAUCUGUUCCCCACCUAGAAUUCCUGUUCUAUUUCACACGAGUGACACGUAGCACGGAGAAAGACGCAUUAGGGUCGAACGGAAACGGAUAUUAGAAAACGUCGGAUUCGAGACUGUUUUUCCGCGACAUCGCGAUGACGACAACAUCGAGAUCUGACGAAUAGACGUCGAUGAAACGGCGACAUCAUCGAAGACGACCUCGAUUCCAUCAAGGAUAAGGUCUCUAGAGGGAGAUCCCGGGAGAGCUCCCCGAUUACUUUCGCCAUUCUAAACGCGCUCGAAUUUCUAAGAUAUUCCAGCGUACAUAUUGCGUUCGACGCGAUCGACGCUGCGGAGAAAUUCGUGGGAACACGCUUGCCACGAGCCGCGAUUUCGCGGCUUCUCCACGGGUUUCAAGAGCUACCGAGGUUUGCGUUUUAUUAUUUCUUGCUAUGGCUAAGGUUUUCCUUGGGUAUUUUGUAUCAGAAAUAAAGAAGACUGUUAUUUUAAAUUUCAGAAGUUGAAAGAUACGAAAAUUGGAAAAUUUUAUAUUUGGAAUCUCAAAAAUUGUGAUGGCUUGAAGAUUGCAAAAUGUUUAAUUGAGAAUUUUGAUAUGUUGACGCAUUGAAAAUUCUGUAAAAUUCUAAACUUAAAAUUUUGAUCAUUUUGUUGCUUUAGAAUUUGGAAACUUGACGCUUUAAAAAAAUGAAGAAAUAAAAGUUUGACACUAUGAAAAUUGGAAAAUUAAGACGUCGGACUUUUGCAAAAACCAAAAAUUCGCUACUCCAUAUACGAGCAUUUUGGCAGAGAGACCAAUGAAGUGAAGAGCGCAUUAAUCGAUCCGAUAUUCCUGAACUAUAAUUACUCGGGUAGUAAGGUUAAUUAGCCGCAGGUGUAGCAAGGUGCAUGUAUAUUUAAUAAGAUAAGAAUUGUGGCGCGCCGCUUGUUCCAGACGCUUGCUGAUGUCAUCUAUUCAAAUAUCCGCGUGUUACAAACAACUAAAUAUAUACUCUCAAAACAGUCAGAACAUUUUACCAAAAUCAUACUAAAUUUCUUCAAACCUUAUAAACUCCACUAAUUUCUCUCUAUUUUAUUGCAGUUAAAAAAGAACAGAAG